UAAUAGAUAUAGGCUUGAAACUUAAAGAAUUUGGCGGUAUUUUAAUCUUUUCAGAGGAACCUGUUCUGUAAUCGAUAUUCCACGUUAAAUUUUACUAAGUUAUUUAUAUAUCGUUGUCGAAAGAAUAAAUUUUCUAAUAUUUUGAAGAAAAUAGAUGUCAAAUCAAGGUGUAGUUUAUAAUUUAGUAGAAAUGGGUUACAAUAAAUUUAUUUAGAAAAUUUUGGAAGGAGGAUUUGAAAGUAAAUUAAUUUUAAU
rnacentral:rRNA from 1 species